rnacentral:rRNA from 1 species
GUGGGGAAUAUUGCACAAUGGGCGAAAGCCUGAUGCAGCAACGCCGCGUGAGGGAAGACGGUUUUCGGAUUGUAAACCUCUGUCUUCGGUGACGAAAAAAAUGACGGUAGCCGAGGAGGAAGCCACGGCUAACUACGUGCCAGCAGCCGCGGUAAUACGUAGGUGGCGAGCGUUGUCCGGAUUUACUGGGUGUAAAGGGAGCGCAGGCGGGGAGACAAGUCAGCGGUGAAAUGCAUAGGCUUAACCUAUGAACUGCCGUUGAAACUGUUUUUCUUGAGUGGAGCAGAGGCAAGCGGAAUUCCGAGUGUAGCGGUGAAAUGCGUAGAUAUUCGGAGGAACACCAGUGGCGAAGGCGGCUUGCUGGCACAAUACUGACGCUCAUGUGCGAAAGCUAGGGCAGCGAACGGGAUUAGAAACCCUUGUAGUCC